rnacentral:rRNA from 1 species
UACGUAGGGGGCAAGCGUUGUCCGGAAUCAUUGGGCGUAAAGAGCGUGUAGGCGGCUUGGCAAGUCCGCUGUGAAAGUCCAGGGCUCAACCCUGGAAAGCCGGUGGAAACUGUCAAGCUCGAGUCCGGAAGAGGCGAGUGGAAUUCCUGGUGUAGCGGUGAAAUGCGCAGAUAUCAGGAGGAACACCAAUGGCGAAGGCAGCUCGCUGGGACGGUACUGACGCUGAGACGCGAAAGCGUGGGGAGCAAACAGG